GAUGCAAAGUAUUGUUCCUGGGUAUGUCUGUGAGGGUAUGGCCAAAGGAGAUUAACAGUUGAAUCAGUGGACUGGGAAAGCCAGACCCACCCUUAAUCUGGGUGUGCACCAUCUAAUCAGCAGCCAACUUGACCAGAAUUAAAAAGCAGGUGGAAGAAUGGGAAAAGACUAGACUGGCUUAGCCUUCCAGCCUACAUUUUUCUCAGUACUGGAUGUUUCCUGCCCUCUAACAUCAAACUCCAAGUUCUUCAGCUUUGGGACUCAGACUGACUUCCUUGCUCCUCAGCUUGCAGACAGACAGCCUAUUAUGGGACCUUGUGAUUGUGAAGAGAUGCUGCUGAAAGGAAAACGAAACACAAAUUGGCAACAUCAAAUUUCAACGAAACUGUCAAGCAAGCAUGGAGAGAAAGCAUUCCAGGAGCACCAAGAAGUGGAUCUCCAAACAUGAUGAGAAGUUAGAUGCCAUGACAUGUGAGCAGCCCUGUGGAAGGCCCCCAUGGUGAAGAACUGAGACCUUCUGACAACAAUCGCAAGAGUGGGCUUGGAAGCAGAUAUUCUGGCACCUUCAGAGGAUCACAGCCUUGGCCAACAACUUGACCAAAACCUCAUGAGAACCCUGAGUCAGAACUACCCAGCUAAGCGGCUCCCACUUGAAACUAAUGUAUAAAAUCCACAGAAGGUCUGUGUGAUAAUAAUAUUUGUUGUUUUAAUGACAUCAUUAGAACCUACAUAAAUGCAAGAUGGGCAUCAAA